GUGUAAGUAUUUGAGUCUAAGUUCUUAGUGAGGUCAAGGCGAUAAGUCGGGCGGUGCUGACUUAGUCAAACUGAAUUUUUUCCUUCGUCUUCUUCGAUCAAUCAUAUGUGCUCUUUUUGAUUUCUAUCAAUUUUGAUAUGUUCUUCUUAUUCUAAAUCUAUUUCUAGCACUAGUUUAAUUUGGAUUUUGUUUUUUCAUGCUAUUAUCUGUCCGUGUUUUUUUUUUAACCUAAAUCUGCUAAAACCUAAUCUUGAUUGGUCUAAUCUGUUCUAGGGUUUCUCUAUUUGUUUAAUUUGAAAUCGAUUUUUUUGUUUUGUCAUGAUUACAAUUACCCUCUGAGUUGUUAUUGAAGUGAUUUUUUCUUUCAUUAUAUAUCUCUUUUCUCUAAUUUUUUUCCCUCAUUGGUUUUUCAGAUUCGGUCAUGGUCAACUGAAGGAAGAAAAAUAGGGUCUAAGUAUCUAUCAUAAUCAUGAGAAUGUGGGAUUAGAUUUGAGAGUAGAACUAAUUUUAUGGAUUUCUUGCGGUAUGGUUUCGAUUUUCCCAAUUAAUUGGUCUCUGGUCUUUUGGUUGUGUUCAUCUGAUGUUGGAAUUGGGGAAUGCUAUGUUAACAUCAUGAGCUCCUACAGAAGUAGGGAUUGGAUUUAAUUUUUACCAUACUAUUAUAUAUCUUAGCUACUCUGUUUAAGUGUCUUACUGGUUCCUUUUGGUUAAGUGUUGAUUUGGGUUAAGUUAAAGUUUAAUCUUGGAGGUACUCUAUUUUCGAGAUGGUCUACUGAUUAGUUCCUACUUUGGUCUCUGUUUUUUUCUUGUCCUAGUUGAAGAAUACUAACAGUUGAGUUUUAUUAUUAAUCUUUGGUCUCUAUUAUGUGAACUCUUGAUACUAUUUUCAAUCUGAUUCUUGUGAAGAUUUAGAUGGAAUUGUUAAUUAGCAUUUGUUUAAUAUUUUUAUGGUCUAUUAUCUUAUUCUUAGUAGAAUUUAAUCAGAUGUAUUUCUACACUUGGCUUUCUUUUCUGGUAAGCAUGGGGAGUCCUAGACUAUAGCUGAUAGAAUGUUUGUCUGUUGAGUGUGUUUAAUGCCUAUCAGGUUUAUCAGAUUGAGUAUGUAGUUAGAUUUCCUCUAGUUUUGGGGAACUCAUGUUUAAGUCUCACUACUUAUAUUUAUAUCAGUUAAUUCAGUUCAUACAUUUUCACUCUUGUGUGAUAGUUCAUCAUUUCUCUCUGUGUUAUUCCCCCCUUCUCUUUUAUUCCUGAUUUCUUGUUAUGGAUUUCCCUGCUGAGCAUGUGAGAGUUCUAGACUUAGACGAAGAUGUUGAAGAAUUUCCAUUUAGGCUUGAUGGGUUGUUGUGCGAUGAUUACGAAAACUAUCAUAAGACCUCUGUUAAACAUCAUUUGAAUAGGAUUUGGACUAUCCCCUCAGCUGAUUUCAAACUAGCCAAGCCUUAUAUCCAAGGAAUGGUAGAGAAUCUUAAUCUUUUUGUCAUGAUGUUCAAGAAAAAAGAAGAGUUAUACUUAGCAGUUGCAGCUAAACCUUCAAUGAUUUUUGGAAACUUAUUCGCUAUUCAGCCACUGGGUAAUCUGGAAUCUGACUUUGAUUUAGUAUGGGAUAAAACCUUAAUGCCUGUACAGAUCAUCAUUCCUCAUGCGCUUAUUAAUAAAGGAAAAGAUAGAGAGAUUCUUGAACAAUUAGGGAGAGUUGUAACAGUUGAGUUUCAGAUGGGGAAUUUCUAUGAAGUUAAAGUCAUGGUGCCUCUGAAAUCUCCCAUGACCAAGAAAGUUGUUUUCAAUACAUCUGGAAAACUUUUGUUAUGACUGCAUUUUAUCCUAAGCUUCUAUAUAAUGCUUGUACUAAGUGCUUUAUUCUAUUUCAUGAUGAGGUUAGAUGUACGGAAAUACAAAGGAGAAUUUUUGUUAGGGCGCUUCCUGCACCUGCUGCAAAAGCUACCCAUGUAGCUCUCACCAAGAUUGGAGAUUCUAUGGAAAAAGGUGAUUCUUCUGGAGCAGGUGGAAUUUCAGCUAGUAAUGAUCGACCUGCACAGUCAUCAAAGACUUUUGUUGUUUCAGUCAGCCUUCAUCCAGUUGGUGCGAUGAGAACUUCAGCUUCAACAUCUCUCCCAGUGGUAUCAUCUUUCUUUCCGCCACUGCCUUCUAGUACUUAUUUAUCCUUAAGAGAAUCUGCUUCCUCCUCUGUUAGUUCUAGCAUUGUGCCUAUUUCUGUCACUUUAUCUAUACCAUCUACCUUAUCUUCUCCUAUUGAAAGUGGUAUUCCUUUUGAUCCUGCUUCGCUAGCUCUUGAUAGGUAAGGAAAAAGACCUAGGUCUUCCUUUGAACCUGCUUUUUUGGGUAAUACUUCUGGUUUUUCUUCUGCUUUUAUGGUUCCAAAUCCUCAAUGGCCUCCGAUGGUUUCCUUGCCGCCUUUUACUCCCCUGAUUGGUUUGCCGUUUACUAUUGGUAGUACUGGAGUCUCCUUUUCGAAUCAUUUGGAUUCUAAUGUGGUUUGGUCGGAAUCUUGUACCGUUGUCUCUCAAACUGUUUUUACUAGUCUGGUGUUGUCUUUAAUUCUUCUACCGAAAUGAGUUUUACUUCAGAUACGCUUAUUCAACCAUCUUCUGAGACCUUUAAUUUGGCUGAUACUGUACUGGGAGACUGUGUUGAUAAGGCUAUCGUUCUUGAUCCAACUCCGGUAUCCAUUUUACCUCCUGAACGUGUGUUGUCUCAAGUCUUGAAGACUUUGAGAAUGAAGUUAAUCUCAUGAUGAUAGAUGCAAUGGACCCUAUGGAUGCUCCCAUGGCCCUGUGCAUUUUGUGUUAGUCGGUUGAAUGAAAUACUGACUGGAGAUUUCCGUAUGUAGUGGCCGGUUGAAUGCAAUACCAACUGGGAAUUUCCGGCCUCAAUUAGACCAUAAAGUUUAAGUGGAUCUCACACAACAGAUACUGCAUGUGUGCUAGCAAAAGAAUAAAAAUUAUAUUUCCAUUGAAACCCAAAGUCGUGAGCAGAGCCAGAGAAGCGAGUUGUAUCUCUUUGUCGGAAGCUGUUGUUGAUGCUUCAAAUCGUGUUGUCGUCAUUAGCCAAGGUCGAUGGGUUCUCAAGGGUCAAGGUCCCCAUAUCAUACAUAGAAGCAAGGAAAUGGAGCUGAUGUGAUAUGGAUGGAAUCUGGGUGAAAUUAUGAGACAAAACCAGCAAGGAAAGGGGAUCGGAAAUUGAUUGAUUAAAUGGGUUUUGAGGGCUGUGCUCAAAGAAUCAAGAGCUCGAGAUGAACAAGGAAAUUGGGUUGCAGUUGACUGGAAUCAAUACCUUCAUCAUCUUGAAUGAAUAGGUUUAUCAUAAUUUAAGAACUCAAUUUCCUUUUUGAUCUAAAUAGGUCGGAUUUCAAUUGUUAAUCCACAACCGGCAUUGUCAGGUGAAAAUAUCCAAUGCCGAUUCUAUCUGAGAUAAGGGGUAAUUCAAUCACUUUAUAAUGUCUUUUUCUUUUUUGUU